rnacentral:rRNA from 1 species
UGGGGAAUAUUGCACAAUGGGCGCAAGCCUGAUGCAGCCAUGCCGCGUGUGUGAAGAAGGCCUUAGGGUUGUAAAGCACUUUCAGUCAGGAGGAAGGGUAGUAGUUUAAUACACUAUUACAUUGACGUUACUGACAGAAGAAGCACCGGCUAACUCCGUGCCAGCAGCCGCGGUAAUACGGAGGGUGCAAGCGUUAAUCGGAAUUACUGGGCGUAAAGCGCACGCAGGCGGUUGAUUAAGUUGGAUGUGAAAUCCCCGGGCUUAACCUGGGAACUGCAUUCAAGACUGGUCAGCUAGAGUCUCGUAGAGGGGGGUAGAAUUCCACGUGUAGCGGUGAAAUGCGUAGAGAUGUGGAGGAAUACCGGUGGCGAAGGCGGCCCCCUGGACGAAGACUGACGCUCAGGUGCGAAAGCGUGGGGAGCAAACA